rnacentral:rRNA from 1 species
UGGGGAAUAUUGCACAAUGGGCGCAAGCCUGAUGCAGCCAUGCCGCGUGUAUGAAGAAGGCCUUCGGGUUGUAAAGUACUUUCAGUCGGGAGGAAGGUGGUAAGGUUAAUAACCUUAUCAAUUGACGUUACCGACAGAAGAAGCCCCGGCUAACUCCGUGCCAGCAGCCGCGGUAAUACGGAGGGUGCAAGCGUUAAUCGGAAUUACUGGGCGUAAAGCGCACGCAGGCGGUUGGUUGAGUCAGAUGUGAAAUCCCCGGGCUUAACCCGGGAAUUGCAUCUGAUACUGGUCAGCUAGAGUCUUGUAGAGGGGGGUAGAAUUCCAUGUGUAGCGGUGAAAUGCGUAGAGAUGUGGAGGAAGACCGGUGGCGAAGGCGGCCCCCUGGACAAAGACUGACGCUCAGGUGCGAAAGCGUGGGGAGCAAACAGG